rnacentral:lncRNA from 1 species
AUGCAGCGACAAAAGCAUUGCACGACGCUGGCCAGCGUCUUUGCCCAACGUCUGUCCCUCCUUCCCAUUUCUAGGUUUAUUACAGAGUAUGAAAAUCAGGAAGCUUUUUGUUCACUUCAUACAUCUCUUCCUACAAAGCCAGACAUCAGACCCGAGCUCAGAUUCCGGAGUGAUUAUUGUUACACAUGAUCUAUGGAGCAGAUAAAUUGCAGCUUGAUUUUUAUAAGGUAUGUUGAGCCUGCAGGCUUCAGCAGAAACAAAAACAAAACAAAACACAAAACCUUGGUUUAACCAGUAAUUUGAGGAACUAUGACAAACCUGACAUAGAAGUCACAGAGCAAAUAAAUAUGCACA